CGCAAUGGGCGAAAGCCUGACGGAGCAACGCCGCGUGAGUGAUGAAGGUCUUCGGAUCGUAAAACUCUGUUAUUAGGGAAGAACAAAUGUGUAAGUAACUAUGCACGUCUUGACGGUACCUAAUCAGAAAGCCACGGCUAACUACGUGCCAGCAGCCGCGGUAAUACGUAGGUGGCAAGCGUUAUCCGGAAUUAUUGGGCGUAAAGCGCGCGUAGGCGGUUUUUUAAGUCUGAUGUGAAAGCCCACGGCUCAACCGUGGAGGGUCAUUGGAAACUGGAAAACUUGAGUGCAGAAGAGGAAAGUGGAAUUCCAUGUGUAGCGGUGAAAUGCGCAGAGAUAUGGAGGAACACCAGUGGCGAAGGCGACUUUCUGGUCUGUAACUGACGCUGAUGUGCGAAAGCGUGGGGAUCAAACAGGAUUAGAUACCCUGGUAGUCCACGCCGUAAACGAUGAGUGCUAAGUGUUAGGG
rnacentral:rRNA from 1 species